rnacentral:piRNA from 1 species
UGGUAAGGGAAGAUUGCCUCAAGUGAGCAA